rnacentral:rRNA from 1 species
UACAGAGGUCUCGAGCGUUGUUCGGAUUCAUUGGGCGUAAAGGGUGCGUAGGUGGCGCCGUAAGUCGGGUGUGAAAUUUCGGAGCUUAACUCCGAAACUGCAUUCGAUACUGCGGGGCUUGAGUACUGGAGAGGAGACUGGAAUUCAUGGUGUAGCAGUGAAAUGCGUAGAGAUCAUGAGGAAGACCAGUGGCGAAGGCGGGUCUCUGGACAGUUCCUGACACUGAGGCACGAAGGCGAGGGGAGCAAACGGG